GGCUACAAGUUACAAGUGUCGAGUUCUUAGUCCCGAGUGUAUGCCACCGUUAUUGAUCACGUCCAGAUGUAGCAUCCCGUCCGGGAAAACCGAAAACACAUCGGGCAUGUCUAUAAUACAAUUUUAAGCAGACAAGAAAAUAAUACAAAAUAAACACAAGCUAAACAUUUUAUUCUAGGACGUUUGUCUAUUCAAAAUUUCGGGUGAGAAUGGAGUUAUGUAUCUAAAACCCAAGCAAAGCUGCUUUAUUUAAGAUUUUUUUUUGUAACAUAGCCAUUUGAUAUGGAAAUUCAUUUAAAAAUUGGUCUGACGGUGUGUUAAUUGGUGAAGUUUUAGUUAUAUUAUUAAAAAAAGAGUUACGGUUAUUCGAUUUGGUUGAACAUAUUCGGUUUUCUAUUUCAGAUUUAGUUUGUUUCGUUUAACAUGAACUUUAGGAUUAUAAUUUUUGCUCAAAUAAAAUGCUCAAUCUAAGUAAUGUGUCAGUGAAUAAAGGUUGGAAACUUUUCUACCUGAAAGCUUCUUGCUUUCCUCCUCAGUGAGCCAUGCAGCGAACCCGUCGAAGGACCUCCCGUAGUUGGUGACAAUUAGGCUUGGUGUGUAACUGAUUAGUAAAUGUAUACACCUCAAGUAAUCAGAUUGUGUACAACAGAAGUAAACAAUAUAUAUAUAUAUAUAUAUAUAUAUUUUUUUUUUUUUGAUGAGCCGGUUCAAUUAAUCGAGACACGCUGACUCCACACCGGACCUAGAUAUGAAAAUGGUUUACCUUUUUCCGGUGACACUACGAACCAAUGAGAAAUGGUGAUCUUCAAUAGUGACGUAGUCGUUGAUUGACGGUAAUGCUCCCAUGUAAACGAUGUAGACCUGCAUUAUCCACCCUGGAUUACCAUCUUACCUACGCUGUUAUAUAUUAAUGUUUUCUAAAA